rnacentral:lncRNA from 1 species
AAGCUGCUGGUAUCGGGGUUGCUGGUCAGUUUGUCGCUGUCUUUCCCAUGCUGCCGUUGACUUCUCUCCUACUUUAAGAAGGAGCAAGGAAGAUCUGAUCUAGGACGGCUUCUCAGAGUCGCUCCUGCUGGCGAGUGUCAGCUGACCUUAUUCCCCUCUAUAUUGCUAUCUGCUGAAGGAAAACAUCAGAGGAGAAGGUGAAACAGCACAGCGGGGCUGGACAGCUGUGAGCUAUUGAAUGGGAAGUUUCUGCCCUGGGCGCUGAUCGCGAUGGCACUUCGGGGGUCCUGAAGAACUGGCGGCUGCGGCACCGCAGGAGCGACCGCAGCGUGGGGAACCACGCGCAGGCCUUUGGCAGCUGCCGGCCUCCAACAGCCGCAGAGGUGCAGCGUGCAGGCAGAGCCGGGCGCCAGGAGUCGUGCUGCCAGGACACUGGGUGAGAGCUGUGCAAGGGCAGGAUCCUGGCGAGAGGUGGAGAUCCAAGCAAUGUCAGAUGUGGGCAUCUGGUGCUCAAAGGAAAUAGCGGCGUCAGCUUGUCAUACUUUGUUCCUGCAUCCUGUGUAGAGAAACUGCAGCCCACGCACAGCUGGAAUUGCUGCCAACAAAAAGCAAUGGUA